rnacentral:rRNA from 1 species
UGCAUGUGUAAGUUUAAGACCAAGUAGGAUGAAACUGCGGACGGCUCAUUAUAACAGUAAUAGUUUCUUUGGUUAGUAAGUACAAGGAUAACUUUGUGAAUGAUAAAGCUAAUACUUGAGACGAUCCGGGGAGUAUUUAUACUUCUCGGCCGAUGACCGCAAGGUUGUCGAGAAAUGACGUUUUUUUGUGAAAAAGGAUGCCACGACAAUUGAUGAAAGCUUUGCUUUUUACAAGUAACCAAUGGGAAUUUCUGAUCUAUCAAUUAGUUGGUAGUAUCGAGGACUACCAAGAUUAUAACGGAUAACGAGGAAUUGGGGUUCGACAUCGGAGAGGGAGCUUUACAGAUGGCUACCACUUCUAAGGAAGGCAGCAGGCGCGUAAAUUACCCACUUUCGACAUGAAGAGGUAGUGACGACAAAUAACUCUGGGGGGCCUAUGGUUUUUCUUGAUGAAAUGAAUAAAAAUCAAAUUCUCUUAUGAAAUCAAUUGAAGGGCAAGUCUGGUGCCACCAGCCGCGGUAAUUCCAGCUCCAUUAGGGA